GUUGCAAAAUGACACACCGCAUGCGCAGAACCGAAAACACAAAGGCCUUAAGUCGCAAGACCCGUAGUUACGGUAAUCAGUAGAACAGAGACCUCCCGACAACACAGACGUGCUGAGUUUGCUGUAAAGCACUUGUUGAAUCAAAUCGGAAACCUGAAGACUGCAGCCGUGUUGGUGUGCCUGGCACUUCUUUUGGACAUCGCAUACUCCGCUCCCGUGGACAAUCCAGGAGUCCAGAAAAGGUCGAUCGAGAAAGCAGCCAAGGCUCAUCCCCACGCGGUCGGGGAGAAGGCCCUGCAUGAGCUGGAGUCCCUUGAAAAGAGAGUGAAGGCAAACCAUCAGCUGGUCAAUAAUCCUGGGUUUCGUGAGCAGGCUAAAAAGGCUCUAGGUCUGGUCAAAAAAAGAGCCAGCAACAUGGAUGCUUCACAGAGAAAGAAAGUGGCCCGCGAAGUGGCGAAGAUACUGGGGAAAAUGAAAGCCCAGAUGGGACGAAAGCUGCAUAAGUAGAGUGACAAAGCGUCUCAAUGAAAGCAGCACAAGCGUAGAACCAGUGUGGCCGACACUAACACGCUAGUUUUAGUUCGUUCUAACAAAUAAGUUGUAAACUGAUAUAUUCCAGGUACAGACUGCUUUGCAUAGCUACAGUUUUAAAUCAGGCUUACAAGUUACAUACAUUCUCAUAAUUUCGCCAGGUGUCAUUAUACCGCCACCUCAAAAAACCUUGUUAUAGAAGCCUUCUCAAGAUUGUCUUCAACACCUAAAUAUCUGAAUUCUAUUACAUUGAAGAUAUUUAACAUUCGGUGUUGAAGACAAUCUUGCGAAGACCUCUAUAUGAACGUUUUUUGAGAUGGCGGUAUAAUGACACCUGGUGGAAUUAUGAGAAUGCAUGUUAUAUCAAUGAAGAUGUAUCGAUUUCAUUUUUGUGACAAGUGUAAACGUCUUCUAUUUUUGACACUUUCAUGUUUAUCUUAAUUCAUAAAUCGACAAUAUGGUAACACUGUAGUAUUAUGCUUUAUUUCAAAUUUUGAAAAAGUACUAUGAAGACGUAUUUGUAGCUAUACUGUAUCUUGCUCUUGUUAAAAAACCGAAAUGCUUAUUGUUCAGUCCUAUACUCCACAUGGUAUCCGAUCCAGAGGCUAGUUUGUGCCAUGCAUUUUCGAGUUUUUUCUUGGUGUCUUGGGUCUUGAGGUAUAAAGUCGGUAUCACCUGUUCUUGUUAGAGACUAUACAGAAAUUCAGGUCAAAUAAAGCUUUACUGCUAAAA